CCUACGGGGGGCAGCAGUGGGGAAUAUUGCGCAAUGGGGGCAACCCUGACGCAGCAACGCCGCGUGAUUGAAGAAGGCCUUCGGGUUGUAAAGAUCUUUAAGCGGGGACGAAUUUUGACGGUACCCGAAGAAUAAGCCCCGGCUAACUACGUGCCAGCAGCCGCGGUAAUACGUAGGGAGCAAGGGUUAUCCGGUUUUACGGGGUGAAAGGGGCGGGUAGGCGGGCAGGCAAGCCAGAAGGGAAAGCUGGGGGUUUAACCCGAAACUGCUUUUGGAACUGCGUGUCUUGAGUGAUGGAGAGGCAGGCGGAAUUCCUAGUGUAGCGGUGAAAUGCGUAGAUAUUGGGAGGAACACCAGUGGCGAAGGCGGCCUGCUGGACAGUAACUGACGCUGAGGCGCGAAAGCGUGGGGAGCAAACAGGAUUAGAUACCCUAGUAGUC
rnacentral:rRNA from 1 species